rnacentral:rRNA from 1 species
GACAGAGGUGCCGAGCGUUAGGCGGAAUCACUGGGCUUAAAGCGUGUGUAGGCGGGCGGGCAAGUACCUUGUGAAAUCCCACGGCUCAACCGUGGAACUGCUGGGUAUACUGCCUGUCUUGAGCCAGCCAGGGGCAGUCGGAACAGACGGUGGAGCGGUGAAAUGCGUAGAUAUCGUCUGGAACGCCAAAGGUGAAAACAGACUGCUGGGGCUGUGCUG